AAAUUGAAGAGUUUGAUCAUGGCUCAGAUUGAACGCUGGCGGCAGGCCUAACACAUGCAAGUCGAGCGGUAGCACAGAGAGCUUGCUCUCGGGUGACGAGCGGCGGACGGGUGAGUAAUGUCUGGGAAACUGCCUGAUGGAGGGGGAUAACUACUGGAAACGGUAGCUAAUACCGCAUAACGUCGCAAGACCAAAGUGGGGGACCUUCGGGCCUCAUGCCAUCAGAUGUGCCCAGAUGGGAUUAGCUGGUAGGUGGGGUAACGGCUCACCUAGGCGACGAUCCCUAGCUGGUCUGAGAGGAUGACCAGCCACACUGGAACUGAGACACGGUCCAGACUCCUACGGGAGGCAGCAGUGGGGAAUAUUGCACAAUGGGCGCAAGCCUGAUGCAGCCAUGCCGCGUGUGUGAAGAAGGCCUUCGGGUUGUAAAGCACUUUCAGCGGGGAGGAAGGCGGUGAGGUUAAUAACCUCAUCGAUUGACGUUACCCGCAGAAGAAGCACCGGCUAACUCCGUGCCAGCAGCCGCGGUAAUACGGAGGGUGCAAGCGUUAAUCGGAAUUACUGGGCGUAAAGCGCACGCAGGCGGUCUGUCAAGUCGGAUGUGAAAUCCCCGGGCUCAACCUGGGAACUGCAUUCGAAACUGGCAGGCUAGAGUCUUGUAGAGGGGGGUAGAAUUCCAGGUGUAGCGGUGAAAUGCGUAGAGAUCUGGAGGAAUACCGGUGGCGAAGGCGGCCCCCUGGACAAAGACUGACGCUCAGGUGCGAAAGCGUGGGGAGCAAACAGGAUUAGAUACCCUGGUAGUCCACGCUGUAAACGAUGUCGAUUUGGAGGUUGUGCCCUUGAGGCGUGGCUUCCGGAGCUAACGCGUUAAAUCGACCGCCUGGGGAGUACGGCCGCAAGGUUAAAACUCAAAUGAAUUGACGGGGGCCCGCACAAGCGGUGGAGCAUGUGGUUUAAUUCGAUGCAACGCGAAGAACCUUACCUGGUCUUGACAUCCACAGAACUUAGCAGAGAUGCUUUGGUGCCUUCGGGAACUGUGAGACAGGUGCUGCAUGGCUGUCGUCAGCUCGUGUUGUGAAAUGUUGGGUUAAGUCCCGCAACGAGCGCAACCCUUAUCCUUUGUUGCCAGCGGUCCGGCCGGGAACUCAAAGGAGACUGCCAGUGAUAAACUGGAGGAAGGUGGGGAUGACGUCAAGUCAUCAUGGCCCUUACGACCAGGGCUACACACGUGCUACAAUGGCAUAUACAAAGAGAAGCGACCUCGCGAGAGCAAGCGGACCUCAUAAAGUAUGUCGUAGUCCGGAUUGGAGUCUGCAACUCGACUCCAUGAAGUCGGAAUCGCUAGUAAUCGUAGAUCAGAAUGCUACGGUGAAUACGUUCCCGGGCCUUGUACACACCGCCCGUCACACCAUGGGAGUGGGUUGCAAAAGAAGUAGGUAGCUUAACCUUCGGGAGGGCGCUUACCACUUUGUGAUUCAUGACUGGGGUGAAGUCGUAACAAGGUAACCGUAGGGGAACCUGCGGUUGGAUCACCUCCUUA
rnacentral:rRNA from 1 species